GGGAAAGAAGCUGUUUCUGAAUCAUUGAGUGUGGGUAUUCAGGUUCCUAUACCUCUUCCCUAAAUGAAGUAAUGAAAAGAAUGCAAGUUACCUACGAAUCAUCAGAACAAGUCGAACGAAUGAAUGAAACCACUGAACAAUGACCGACUAAGUAUCAUGAUGGCAGAGGAACUGAAUGCGUAUUUUGCAUCAGUCUUCACAGUGGAAGACAUCUGCAGUAUACCGGACAUUCAAGAGUGUCAGUCUUCUUCUCUACAGGUUUCUGCCACUUGGAGUGAUCCAAAAGGAGGACACAUCCUGAUGUGGUGCGUGGAUCUUGGUUCAGAAAACACACAAGGAACCACUGGGAGUUUGAUGGGAAGGUCUUAACCAAGUGCUAUUAAUUAUGAAUUCUGCAGUGAAAGUAGAAGAUAAAAGUAAGUGGAUACACUGCAAGCAAGCUAAAGUUGUAGCUGAUGAAGACAACAAGC